UGUGUAGGCGGAAUGGUAAGCGUCUUGUGAAAGCCCCCGGCUUAACCGGGGAAUUGCUUGACGAACUGUCAUUCUUGAGGCAAGUAGGGGUGCACGGAACUCUUGGUGGAGCGGUGGAAUGCGUAGAUAUCAAGAGGAACGCCGGUGGUGAAGACGGUGCACUGGGCUUGUCCUGACGCUGAGACACGAAAGCGUGGGGAGCGAACAGGAUUAGAUACCCUGGUAGUCC
rnacentral:rRNA from 1 species